UACAUGUGGGGCAAGCGUUGUUCGGAAUUACUGGGCAUAAAGGGUGCGUAGGCGGUUUGCUAAGUCAGGGGUGAAAUCCUGGAGCUCAACUCCAGAACUGCCUUUGAUACUGGCGACCUUGAGUCCGGGAGAGGUGAGUGGAACUGCGAGUGUAGAGGUGAAAUUCGUAGAUAUUCGCAAGAACACCAGUGGCGAAGGCGGCUCACUGGCCCGGUACUGACGCUGAGGUGCGAAAGCGUGGGGAGCAAACAGG
rnacentral:rRNA from 1 species